GAUUGAGCGGGAACAGGAAAAUAACCGCCCGCAGGGGCCGGGGCGCCGGCAAGGACCUCCGCCUGAGUGGGAACCGCGCGGGCGCCGGUGCCGGGAAUUGGUUAGACUGGCUAACAACGUAAUGCAGAUCCCAGUUCCCUGAGCUGAGAUGACUCUUCACAACCAGCAAGAGUAGAUGUAGAUCUGCUGACUCUUGAGCCUUCUCAGGGCAUUCUAGAAUGCUGCUUUCUUGCGGUUACUGCAGCUGCUCAAAGACCAUGUCACAUCUCUGUGACCCCGACAGUAAAGACAGGGGGACAUCACCGUCUUUCUUCUCACCCGGAAAGACACCUCCCAGUCCAUCUCCUCCAAUUCGAUUAACCAACUUUCACCUACAAGAAAGCCACGCUGUGAGGAGAGGAGACACAGAACAGAUAAUUUUUGAAGGUGAGUGUGUGAGGGCAGGAUGGAAAGUUCCAGACAUAGUUUAUUUUGGGCAACACAAGCCCUCAAAAGUGUCAUGGGCAGCGUCAUGGUGGGAGGUCUUGGUAAUCAAGGAACAACACCAGCACCAGGGCCCCGUGUCACUUGUAGGGAAUAGAGGACAGGAGAGGGAGUACGGAAAGAGGGGGACACACUUAAGCCAUAUGUUGCCUGUGAUGCAGUGUAGCUGCAGACUAAGCCUAUAGGCCUGACCUCAGUUCGUUGAUCUCUGAGCAUGUCCAUUCUCAUAAAUGCACCUUUGUUUUCUGCCCAGUGCACAAACAUCACGACCCGUGUCUGAGAAUGUUGGGAAUUUUAUGAGGUCCAUAAAGUUUUAGCUGUGGUCUAGUCCACUGAGGCCAAAAUAAAUAAAUAGAGAGAGUGUAAGGGUAACA
rnacentral:lncRNA from 12 species